rnacentral:rRNA from 1 species
CACGUAAGUAACCUACCUUUAGAUUUGGAAUAACCCCGAGAAAUCGGGGCUAAUACCGAAUGAUGCAGCGGCACCUCAUGGUGAUGUUGUUAAAGUCUAUAUGACGUCUAAAGAUGGGCUUGCGUCUGAUUAGCUAGUUGGUGAGGUAAUGGCUCACCAAGGCUACGAUCAGUAGCUGGUCUGAGAGGAUGAUCAGCCACACUGGAACUGAGACACGGUCCAG